rnacentral:rRNA from 1 species
CAGUCGCCGCGGGAACACGAAGGGGGCUAGCGUUGUUCGGAAUUACUGGGCGUAAAGGGCGCGUAGGCGGCCAUUCAAGUUAGAUGUGAAAGCCCUGGGCUCAACCCGGGAAUUGCGCUUGAUACUGGUACGCUUGAAUCCAGGAGAGGUUGGUGGAAUUCCCAGUGUAGAGGUGAAAUUCGUAGAGAUUGGGAAGAACACCGGUGGCGAAGGCGGCCAACUGGACUGGUAUUGACGCUGAGGCGCGAAAGCGUGGGGAGCAAACAGGAUUAGAUACCCCCGUAGUCCCUGUCUCUUAUAC